rnacentral:rRNA from 1 species
UACAGAGGUGGCAAGCGUUGUUCGGAAUUACUGGGCGUAAAGCGCGUGUAGGCGGCUCGGCAAGUCGGGUGUGAAAGCCCUGGGCUUAACCUAGGAAGUGCACUCGAAACUGCCAAGCUUGAGUUCUGGAGAGGAAGGCGGAAUUCUCGGUGUAGAGGUGAAAUUCGUAGAUAUCGAGAGGAACACCGGUGGCGAAGGCGGCCUUCUGGACAGCAACUGACGCUGAGACGCGAAAGCGUGGGGAGCAAACAGG